CUGGGUGCCCCUAAGAAGACACUCUUCCACCAUCGAAUUUCCUCAACUUUCCUCUUCAUUUCCCGCCAUUAAUUCUUCGGGGUUUUUCUUGAUUGAUAAUUGGUAAUUAGGGUAUUGAAAGAUGAAACGUAGAAGGUAGUAGAUAUGAAAGAUGCUUGCUGAGAUGACGAUGUAUUUCGAAUUGCGUUGGAUGAGAAGCUGAGGAAAGCUGUUGAAUCUUUCAAGGGAAAUAUUUGGAAGCGAAUAGCUGCUAGUUUACCUAGUAGAAGAGAAGAGCAAUGUCUGCAUUGAUGGCGAAAGGUUCUUCAUCCAGACCUGGUUAAGGGACAAUGGACCCUAGAGGAAGAUGAUAAAUUCAUGGAGUUGGUCUAUGGACCCUCGCCGUUAUAGCAAAAGAGUUUCCAGGUCGCACAGGAAAGCAAUGCCGAGAAAGGUAGCCAUGAUGAGCUGUUCAUAUAGCGCCAGUAGGUUGUAUUCAAGUAAGCGGUCAUUCAUUGCAUGCGUACUGUCAGAUAGUCAAGGAAAAUAAUAUGUGCAGUUUCAGGUGGCACAACCAUUUGAACCAGGAGAAUAAGAGAGAUGGUUGGACCGUGGAGGCAGAACUUGCACUCAUGAAUGGUUCUGUUCCACCCCUUUAUCCCUGACUAGGUGAGGAGGGUCUAAUUGGUGUACUAGCAACUGUAUCCAGUUUUUCUGAUGGUCUUGAAUGCAGACAACUGGCAUCAGAGCAUGAGUUUAGUGUAGCAAAUUAAACUCGCAACCAAACUUGGUCAGACAGAGAAGCAAAGCAGAAGGUGAUCUAGAUGAAAGUAUUGCUGGAAUACCACUACCAACUGCUGAUCCAGUCAUCACUUCUUUUCAGAAUGAAGUAUUGGACUUGAACUUGAUUAUUUCACCUACCGUUUGCUGCUAAUAGGUUUUCAAUCACUAACUCCAUAUAAGAAAAAGAGAGGCUAGUGGUACUCUGAAUUGGAAUGAGCGAGGUAAAAGAUGAAAAAGACAAGAGUUUGCAUUCAUAAGAAAGAAUGCAUGAAAGAUAGAACAAAUAAAACUUACUUUAGUGAGGAGAUCCCUAGAUCAGAGGAUGUGAUUUGCAAGAGUGACAAUUCUGCUUGCCGUGGUAAUGACACUGUUAGCUGUUUUACACCUGGAGGCCUGUCCAUACGGAUGGGUCAUUCUAUUCCUGGAAGGCUUGUUUUUAUUGCUCAAGGCUGACGUUUUCUGGUCUUUAGGGAUUAAAAUUAGGCACAAAAUGAAGAAAAGUUGCUCCUAAAUUAAAGAAAAAGAACAGAUGAAUGACGAUUCUGCUUGUCAUGCUAAUGAUGGCAUUAGACUGUUCUAGUGAUCAAAGGAUUCAUUCUCAUGUCAGCCCGGCUUGUUCAUGAGCAACGAAGAUUUCUUGGCCUGAUUGGAUAUUCUGAGUACUUUCUGGAAUACUGUAUAACUCUGGUUCUACAGAUAGGGUAUUAUUAAAUUACUGCUCAGUACUAUUUGAUUUAUUUUUCCAAUAAUAUUUUUUUCCUCUUUCUGAAUUAGGUAACGUUUGUAAUUGGAAACCUUAACCUACAGCGACUGACGAAUCAACUGCACAUACAUUUGAUCAUCGGUGCGCUUUCUAACAUAUGUUUACUUGUGUACUUUUCAUAUCUGUUUACAAGAAAAUGGGUGAAAUAGAUGUGUAUUGCAAAUGAUGUUAUCACAGAAAUUCAACUUAUUUAUGACGAGAAUAA